CCUACGGGCGGCAGCAGUGGGGAAUUUUGGACAAUGGGCGAAAGCCUGAUCCAGCAAUGCCGCGUGAGUGAAGAAGGCCUUCGGGUUGUAAAGCUCUUUUGUCAGGGAAGAAACGGUGCGGGCUAAUAUCCCGCACUAAUGACGGUACCUGAAGAAUAAGCACCGGCUAACUACGUGCCAGCAGCCGCGGUAAUACGUAGGGUGCAAGCGUUAAUCGGAAUUACUGGGCGUAAAGCGUGCGCAGGCGGUUUUGUAAGUUUGUCGUGAAAGCCCCGGGCUCAACCUGGGAAUUGCGAUGAAGACUGCAAGGCUUGAAUCUGGCAGAGGGGGGUAGAAUUCCACGUGUAGCAGUGAAAUGCGUAGAGAUGUGGAGGAACACCGAUGGCGAAGGCAGCCCCCUGGGUCAAGAUUGACGCUCAUGCACGAAAGCGUGGGGAGCAAACAGGAUUAGAUACCCUGGUAGUCCACGCCCUAAACGAUGUCUACUAGUUGUCGGGUUUUAAUUAACUUGGUAACGCAGCUAACGCGUGAAGUAGACCGCCUGGGGAGUACGGUCGCAAGAAUUAAAACUCAAAUUGAAAUUGACGGNUUGNGAGNGCGAGACGACGACGAGGAGAGG
rnacentral:rRNA from 1 species